CCCAGACUCCUACGGGCGGCAGCAGUGGGGCCUCUUGCACAAUGGGGUCCCCCCUGAUGCCGCGCCGCCGCGUGCGUGCAGAAGUACUUCGUUAUGUAAAGCUCUCUCAGCAGGGCCGCACAUGACGGUCCCUGCGUAAGAAGCCCCGGCUAACUACGUGCCCGCAGCCGCGGUCCUACGUAGGGGGCACGCGUUAUCCGGAUUUACUGGGGGUCAAGGGAGCGUAGACGGCAGUGCAAGUCUGGAGUGAAAGGCGGGGGCUCAACCCCCGGACUGCUCGUGAAACUGGACGGCGGGAGGGCAGGAGAGGUAAGGGGAAGUCCUAGUGGAGCGGUGAAAUGCGGAGAGAUUAGGAGGAACACCAGUGGCGAAGGCGGCUUAUUGGACGGGAACUGACGGGGAGGCGCGAAAGCGGGGGGAGCAACCAGGAGGAGAGACCCCAGGACC
rnacentral:rRNA from 1 species